GCUCUCAUUUGCCUUUUUGAAUGUCUCGUGGAGAGCAGCAGGAAGAUCUUCUGAAUGUUAGGUAAACAUAGAAUGGACUAGAGCAGAAAAGUAACUUAAGGGGUUUUUAAUUCUUUUACCUUGCAAUAUAUCUGGACAAUGUGCCUAGCAUCUUUCUGAUCCCAGUGCUCCCAGCCUUGGAACAGCAAGGCCUGCAGGAAGGGUGAUGCUGGGCAUGGGGACAGCCCUGAGCACAGCAGAGGUGCUGGAGCUGGAAGAGCUAAUCCUCUGUUUAGACAUGGCACCAAUACUGGACCAGGUAAACAAGGCACUUGCUGCCUGCUCUGACAGAUUCCCAGAGCUCAUGUCCAUAAACAUCCUGGCCUAUUGGUACUUCCAGGAGACUGAAGCCAAGGUAACAAUUCAUGCUAAUAUUAACUUUGUGGAAAGCAGAUGCAAACAUAUCAAUGAGGGCUGGCACUAUGAUUAAAGGCUUUCCUUCUUUUCCUAAAGAUUUGUGUACUUUUACACCAACUCUGAAAUACAUUUACCACAACAUCUUUUGGCAUAAACUGAGUGUUUCUUGGGGCAUAUUGAUGGCAGGCAAUGUACCACCCCCCUCUUCUACAGUGACUUGUGCACACACUGUUUUCUGUUCACCAGUCUGAGGAUGUGCACUGAGAGCAGUUCUGAGUCUGAGCAGAGUGCCAGGCUGUGCUUGAACUCCUCAGAAUGUUUGCAUCCCCAAAUGAGCCCAGUGAUGAUGAAAUGCAGAGGAGCUGUGACGCCUUCUUGGGUUUGUGACCUAACCCUUGCCAAAUACCUCACCAGGACUUCCAGGCUUCUGCCUCCAGCACCUCCAGGGUUCCACUAUCCAAAUUCUGGAUGGACCUCACAUUGCUAUGACCAAGAGAAUCAAGUAAGAUAAAUUAAUCACAGACUUUUAUGUGCAAGGGAUAUAAACAGAGGAAAAUAUGCCAUUUCAUUUUUAGAUCAGCACCAUAUUCAGACUGUUUACUCUCUUAUGUAGUUUUUGAUUGUUUCCUUUUUCAGGGUACUGAUUUUAGAAGCAAAUGGUUGCAGGAGGGUCCCAGUUUUGGGUUUGGGGUUUGGUUGGCUUUUUUGAUCUGGGAAAGAUUUUGCUGUUUCACAAAUCAGAAAAAUAUUUUUCAUUCCAAAAUGGGCUCCAGACCUCAUUAAAACAGCAGGCUUUUUUGCUUCCAAGAUAGAAAAUCAUUACUAUGUUGAUUUUUCUCUCAUUUUAUGGAGCGAGCCUGCUUAGCUAGGAAAAUUUGUCAGAAAGAAGGAUGUCUCUGUGAGUGGCAUUCAUUGCUUGAGAACUCAGUACAAGAACAGCCUUUGAAAGAUUGAUAUUUUUAAAUACAAGUCCUGCACUUGUAGCACCCUUUGUCUAAUUGCUAUUGGAGGAGAAGGGAACAGGAACUGUAGUAGAUGCCUUGACUAUAAUCACUGCCAGUGGAAGAACAGAACUGUGAUAGAAUUUAAGAACUAAGCCAAUGGCUGUCCUAAUGAAGCAAUCCUAGCAAUGCUUCUUUCUCUAAUUAUUAUGGAGUGGAGAAAGAAGAAAGAGUGCUCCAGGAUGCUUACUGAUGCUUGCCUUCUGCUUCCUCUUGUUCCUCUGAUGUAUGGUCAGGAGCAAGAGAAUUACCAGGACUUCUACCAUGUAACUUCACCCACAACUUAACCAGCCCUUGAUUUGCUCAGUGAACCUAUUGCAUUUUCCUUUUAUUUUGACAACACUGACCAGCCUGAAUUCCUCCUCACCAGCAUAAGCUGUUUGCUCCCACUCUAGCAUUUUGUAAUUCUGAUGUAACUCCAUUACUGUGGAGUUUGUGAGUAAAGUGUCUCUGCUAUAUAUGUGCUAACCAGUAACUCAGCAGAAACAGCCUCAAUAGACUUCAUUCUUCACUGAUGUGCUUGAUAUACAAACAAAUUAUUCUUUACACAAAUACAAGUACUCAAGUUUCCCCAGGUAGUUGAUUAUUUCUAUUUAAUGAUGUAUCAGUAUAGGGAUACAGCUCCUGGUUUUUCCAUUAUAAUCCAGUCGUCAGCUGGACUCCAGGACAAAAUUCCUCCUUGCGUGUCAAUGUCUCACAAUGCACUUGUGCUUCCUCCUGCCAGAAAUUAUUUUAUAAAGGGGCAUUUAAAAACAAUGGAAAACGCCAAUGGAAAAUGUGAUGCAAAUGUUCAUACAUUUAAAUCCAUGAGAAAUUUAGAUUGAUAGCUAAUUCAGGCCUGAAGUGCUAUAGCUGGCCAGAUCAUAUAAAAGCUAAAGUACACAAAAAAACUACAUCUUUUGUGCUUUGUAGACAGGGGAGGGAAAGAAAAAGAAAAUGUAUUUAUGUGCUAUGAGCUUACACAUAUUUAGCUGAUUAUUUGAACUUUUCUAGGAGUCCCUAAAAAUAAACUGAAAACAUCUUAAACUACUUAUGACAAAUAGAAUUGCAGGAAAACUCUAUUGUUUCCAAAUGUGCAUUGAAAAAAAUGAGUGAACGUGAGGCUGCUCUGUAAGAGAAAGAAUCUUAAUGGAAAAACUUAUAGAACUUAAAGUGGAACUGUAUGAAAGUAGCAGAUGAGUCUUGCUGCUUAACAAAAUUUUAUCUAUCGGUACAAAGGUUAACUUCAUGUUAACUUCAGAAUAUAUGUUUCAAAGUUCAAUUAAUAUACUUCCAACACAUUACUUAUUUUAGUAAAAAUUUACUGCAGAGGCAAUACAGACAGAGAUCAAUACAGGUCUGACUUCUUCUGUGCCAUUUCUGCUUUGUAUAAUAGGAGACAAGGGCAGAACAAGUGUUUGAAAAGUUCACUGUGACCCACUUUGAAAUAUCAUACUGUUUCUGACCAGAACCAGACCAGCAUUCAGAUUAAAGAUAUGGAAAUGUAUUUAUCAACAGGCAAGGAAAACUUGGAACUUGGAUGUUAAGUUCCAUUAGUCAUAAACUAAUGACAUUCUGUAUGUAAAUACUUCUAAAUUUUACUUGAUAGAGCUCUUCCCUGGCUUCUACAAAAUAAAAGUGCAAAAGUUUAGUUAUCUUCUUCCUCUAAAACAGAUAAAUAUGCUGUUUGUGGGGCUCUUUAUUUGCACACUUUCCAAAGUUUUUUCACUGUUUAAGAGAAAAAAAAAAUAAUGUACUAUUUCUGCAUCAGGAAAUGGCCAGGGAAUAUUAUCAAUUAAUGUAAAAUAGAAAAAAAAAAAACCUUCUAAGAUAUCUUUCUCCACUUUAAACAUGUAAGACAUAAUCAGUGUGUGAUUCUGGGCAGGUGCUGCAGGGUUCCUUGUAAAACCCUGACAUCUGUCUGUGAGCAGGCUCCUCUCAGGCUGGCUGUGAGCCACAGGCAGUUCCAGGGAAGGGAAUACAGGAGUAUCUUGUGAGGAGGUGCUUUUUCAGGAAGUAUCUAAGUGCUACAGAACAUUCCUAUGCCCUUUGGGUAUUAUAAGGUAAUAUGCAGUGGCCAACUUUAGUGAAUCUUACCUCAGUUGUCUUUGGAGUUUGUUCUUUGCAUCUGCUACUUCAGCAACACAAUUAUUAAAGCUCAAGUUAAUACAGAUUAAAUUAUUCCACCUCUCCCCAGCUGUGCACUCCAGUCUAAGUCUGCAUCCUUUCAGAGCAUGUCAGAGUUGGCCCCUGCAUGUUGAGAGCACCUGAUAUUGUCUCCAUUGAAUUCAGCCCAUGAUGCAGGAGUUGAAGCACUCAGCAGGGAUUUCAAACAACUUGCAGCCUGAGCCCCUGGCUUCAAAACUACUGGCGUGGAACUGCAAUUUAUUGAUCUGGGUCUGUUGAAGCAGAAGGCACUUGCUCUGCUCCUGAGUGCUGCAGGGAGCUGCUCUACCAUCAUCUCCACUGGCCUCCAGUGAACAGACAACCACAAGCGUGAAAAACACCAGGUAGCUGGGUGGUGUGAGGGAAAGCCUCAGUGCAAAAAGGAGGAGGUGUUCAGGGGGAACCCUCAUGCCAGCACUGCUGUAAGUGAGAAAGAAAAGGGCAGACCAGAGUUGUGGUUUCCCAUCUCUCAUGUUUUGGGGGACGGAUUCACUUAGCAUAAUUCAAAUUGUACAUCCCUGGAAAAUUUGUUUAAGCAUUUCUGCUCACCUUGAUCACAAAGAUGGAAAUAUGUUGUUCCAUCUCUGCUUUCUUACUCUCAAGGAAUUUUUGGUAUAACUUCAUCUCCUUUGGCUCUUCCAAAAGCAAGAAAGGCCUGGCAAGCCUUGGACUGGAAUAGAGUAGUAAGGAUAAAGAAAGAAAAAGCCUUGCUUUCCAAAGCAUCAGGAAGACAGCAGACUCAUUGAUAUUUUUGGUAAAUAUUGCCAUAUGGACUUCUCAACUGUUAUUACCAUCAGUCUGCCUGAUGUGGAGAUAGAGCUGGAUUAAAGGUGAGCAGAAAUGCCACCCUAAAACACUCUAAAGCCUGUUGUUCACCCAGAGAGCCCUGCACUGGCUCAGAGAAGGAGGGGUGCUGAGGAAGGAAUUAAUUUUUCCUUUUUGGUGCUUUUUGUAGGGAAUGUUCUAUAUAACCUUGGGAACAGGGACUGUUGGACCCAAAAGAAAAGUAUUUGGACACAUACCUCAGUUUAAAAUGUGGAAAGUCUUGCUGACAUCAGUGAAUCUAAUCCAUAUGUUGGACAGGAAGCACAGACCUGAAGUGCUGUACUGUGCUGUGGUCUCACACCAAGCCAUCUUUUUCAAGGGCAAGGUAGAGUAUAAACUUCUCAGAUAUGUCUUACUGGCCAAUUCCUCCUACCACAGACAUCUGAAUUUGCUUAAACAUUUGACUCCACUUCCAAACAGCAUUUUGUUCAUUAGUUUCCUGUGGAAGGUAAUUACAGAACAGUAAGUGCAGGAGCUGUACAAAUAUCCAGGGGUCUUGAGCUUUUACCUGAGGUAACUAUGCUUGAAAGCCCCUCAAAGACCUUAAAUAAACAUAUUUUCAGAUUUUUUUCUACGCUUUUGUUUGGUUUUGGUGGUUUUUUUUUUUUUUUUUUUUUUUUUUGUUGUUGUUUUGCUUGGUUUGGGGGUUCAUUUUGUUUUGUUUCUUCGGUAGUGGACAGCUACUGGUUUUGUGUUUGGCUUGGUUUUUUAUUUAAUUCCUAGAGUGUUCAUUCUAAAAAGCUUGCAGUUGUUGAAGUGCUGAGCCACAAAAAAGAUAACUUUGCAGUAUAAUUCUCUAAAAAAGAUUUUAUACCAAGUUGUGAUGGUACCUUUCCAAAUAUUACCAGAUACUAUUUUCUAUUUCCAAGGUGACACCAUCUCAAAUAAUAACUUACACACUUGUAUAUUAAAACAAACAAAUUUUGAAACUAAUUGGUCUGAAAUGGGAGUAUUUGAGACUUCCAACUGUGCUUGGAUCAGGAAAAUAUCCUUUUUACAGCAGCUAGGCUGUGAUGUCAGGAGCAGAAGAGAGGACAAGGCUGCGUUCAGGUGGCUAUGGGAGAAAGAGGGAGGGAGCAGUGACGGGGAUAAGGUGGCCAGGAAUAGGGUCCAGAUCGCAUCACCAGAUGGUGCACACUUGCUUGGUUUGGAAACUUAUUUUAUUAUUUUUUACAUACCAAGCACAGCGACCUUCUAAAUUGCUCAGAAGUUGAUUGGCCAAGUUAAGACAGUGUGAUCUUCCAAAUAAAUGUACUCAUUCAAUUAAUGGAGAUGGUCUAUCAGCAAGAUACUGAAUUAAUAUACUCAGAAUUACCAUUUUACCGAAAUGAUACAUAAUCUGAGAAUGAAGCGAGUUGCUGUGUAACGCUUCCCUCGGCAGCGGGCCAGCGC